rnacentral:rRNA from 1 species
CCUGCGGGAGGCAGCAGUGAGGAAUAUUGGUCAAUGGACGAGAGUCUGAACCAGCCAAGUAGCGUGAAGGAUGACUGCCCUAUGGGUUGUACACUUCUUUUAUAUGGGAAUAAAAUGUUCCACGUGUGGGAUUUUGUCUGUACCAUAUGAAUAAGGAUCGGCUAACUCCGUGCCAGCAGCCGAGGUAAUACGGAGGGUCCGAGCGUUAUCCGGAUUUAUUGGGUUUAAAGGGAGCGUAGGUGGAUUGUUAAGUCAGUUGUGAAAGUUGGCGGAUCAACCGUAAAAUUGCAGUUGAAACUGGCAGUCUUGAGUACAGUAGAGGUGGGCGGAAUGCGUGGUGUAGCGGUGAAAUGCUUAGAUAUCACGAAGAACUCCGAUUGCGAAGGCAGUUCACUGGACUGCAACUGACACUGAGGCUCGAAAGUGUGGGUAUCAAACAGGAUUAGAUACCCCUGUAGUC